UGGGGAAUAUUGCACAAUGGACGGAAGUUUGAUGCAGCGACGCCGCGUGGAGGGUGUAGGCCUUCGGGUUGUGAACUCCUUUUUCUCGCGAAAAAGGCACAGUUUUGGCUGUGUUGAUGGUAGUGGGGGAAGAAGCGCCGGCUAACUACGUGCCAGCAGCCGCGGUAAUACGUAGGGCGCGAGCGUUGUCCGGAUUUAUUGGGCGUAAAGAGCUCGUAGGUGGUUCGUCGCGUCUGUCGUGAAAGCCAGCAGCUUAACUGUUGGUCUGCGGUGGGUACGGGCUGGCUUGAGUGCGGUAGGGGUGACUGGAAUUCCUGGUGUAGCGGUGGAAUACGCAGAUAUCAGGAGGAACACCGAUAGCGAAGGCAGGUCACUGAGCCGUUACUGACACUGAGGAGCGAAAGCGUGGGGAGCGAACAGG
rnacentral:rRNA from 1 species